UUGAGUAACACAAACAUUGGUAAGAAUUCCAUGCCCCGAAAACCUAAGGGUUCCUCCGCAAGGUUCGUCCACGGAGAGUGAGUCAAGGCCUAAGAUUAGGCCGAAAGGCGCAGUCGAUGGACAAAAGGUGAAUAUUCCAAUACUACCCCUUAUUGGUCCCGAGGGACGGAGGAGGCUAGGUUAGCCAAAAGAUGGUUAUCUGUUCAAGGAUGCAAGGUGCCCCUACUUUUUCAGGGUAAGAAGAGGUAGAGAAAAUGCCACGAGCCAAUGUUCGAGUACCAGGAGCUAUGGCACUAAAUUAACCCAUGCUAUACUUAGAGGAAAAACUCAAACAACCUUCAACAAAAGGAUACCUAUACCCAAAACCGACACAGGUGGGUAGGUAGAGAAUACCUAGGGACCCAAUAGUACCCAUUUUUUGGAACGUCCAGUGCCAAUGUCACGGAAUAAGUAAGUCGCCAAUCCCUAAAACGGGCUAUGUAAUGUA
rfam:Gossypium raimondii Chr04_contig_787, whole genome shotgun sequence.